ensembl:lncRNA
CGCCGCGCUCCCGGAGCGGGAGAGGCUGCCGGCUGCUCCGGAAGAGGCGCUCCUUCCCCCGUCACUGCCCGGAGUGCGCGUUGCUACAUCAGCCGGCGGGCGCGGGGCAAAAGGGAUGCGCGCUCCGGAACCGCUGGAAAGAGAGGUCUGUUCGGAGCAGCGCCCCGCGGGGAAGCGCCUCUCACGGCAUCGUUGUCGUCCGAGGGGACGGCGGUAGUGCCGAGUUACGGUGCGGAAAGUCAGCGCUUGGCGGUGCCGGCCACGCUCCGCUGCUGCGGGAGGAGGCCGCGCCGGCUCCUGCUUGGUUGGACGGAGCUGCUGUGAGGACGAUAACUUUCCGACAAUUUCAAGGAGGCCAUUUUCCAGAAGAGCCCGUGUCCUUCCUCUCGACUUUCCUCACGUCUCUUGACAGAUUAUUUUCAUCUCACUAAAGCAGAAGCUCUUCUAACACUGAUGUUUAAAAGCAUCCCUGCUGGUUAUUUUUGCCUAGCAGUUUCUGUAUGAGCAACAGCAUCAUAUGAUUUUUGAAGAUGGCAAAGUAAUGCAGUCUGAAUCCCCAGGCAAGUCACCACCAAACUGGGAAGAAAGCAGUACACAAGUUGUUGAAUAAGUUUAAAGUUAUUAAUGUGUUUGGCUGCUAUUCAUCAAUGACAUUGUUUGAACGGGUAUAAAUAAAAGAGGUGAAUAAACAGUUAUAAUAAGCUAUUAGUGAAACUAUCCAUGUAGAAGCCAGCAUGUACCCAAUUUAUAAUUACUGAAGGCAGUCUAUUUUCUGGCAGAAAUUAAGGAUACUGCGUAACAGAAUGCUGUGUACUCCUCUACACAGCAUAGUUCAAAUACUUAAGGGAUGAUUUCUAAUACAUUUCUGUAGAAAUCACCAACAUUGCCACAAAAUUACUGCUAGAUUUCCUGCAGGCCCUCCAACUAUUUUCCAAUCUAGAACAGUCAUGAAAAGCCCUGCUUUUCUAACAGUGACCUACUGGUUGUCUUCUUGGUGUGAAGUCCUGGCACCUCCUACUACUAAAUACUUUCAUGAGAGAAAAUUGAUUCCUGUUCCAUCUCAUUAGUUGAAGUCAUGACAAUGCUUUACCCAUAUGUCUUAGAUCCCACUGGGAUGGAAUCAUGUACUCCAAUCCCAUCAAGUUAUAAAGGGCCAAAAGCCAUUUGUAUUUCUGCAGUGAUGGGGAUCCAAUGAUUUAAGUGUGUUGGAGGCUGAAGUGAGCCUAACCAGAACUGAGGGACAAAAGCACUGCAUUGCGACCGGCCCAGAGGCUCUGUGCGUCCUCAGUGUAGAUUAUCUCUGGAGAGGGUACUCCAGGGACCCAAAAGGAUAUUGAUGGGCUUGCCUGGUCUCUCACAG